CCCCUGCCCUAUAAGGAUCCCCAAAUCCUGAGCAAUAGGGUCCCCAGUGCUCCCAGUAAAAGGGAAAUGGGGGAACUGGGAGCCCCAGUAACAGAUCUAUGGGGCAACUGGGACCGCCAGGAAAAGAUAUAUGGGGUAAACUGGGCUACCAAUAAGCAAAAUUCUGACAUAAAUGACCCAAAAACGCAUUUAUGAGGUAAAUAAAGGCCCUAAAUAACAGAUCUAUGAGGUAAAUUAGGCCUUAUGUGAGGAAAAUCCUGUCAUAAGUGACCCAAAAUGCACUUACGAUGUAAGCAAGAGGCCCAGUAAGAGAUAUAUGAAGUAAACUGGGAUCCUAGUAAGCAAAAUUCAGACAUAAUUCACCAAAAAUCACAUUUAUGAGGUAAAUAAGGGCCCAAAUACCAGAUCUAUGAGGUAAAUUUGACCCUAUGUGAGGAAAAUCCUGUCAUAAAUGACCCAAAAUGCACUUAUGAGGAAAGUGAGAGGCCCAGUAAGAGAGCUGAGGGUAAAGUGGGCUCCCAGUUAGCAAAAUUCAAACAUAAAUGACCCAAAAACUCAUUUAUGAGGUAAAUUAGGCCCUAAAUAACAGAUCUAUGAGGUAAAUUAGGCCUUAUGUGAGGAAAAUCCUGUCAUAAGUGACCCAAAAUGCACUUAUGAGGUAAGUGAGAGGCCCAGUAAGAGAGUUGUGAGGUAAACUGGGCUCCCAGUAAGAGAUACAUGAGGUAAACUGGGCUCCCAGUCAGCAAAAUUCUGACAUAAUUCACCAAAAAUCACAUUUAUGAGGUAAAUAAGGGCCCAAAUAACAAAUCUAUGAGGUAAAUUAGACCCUAUGUGAGAAAAAUCCUGUCAGAAAUGUCUCAAAAGUGCACUUAUGAGGUAAUUAAGAGGCCCAGUAAGAUAUACAUGAAGUAAACUGGGAUCCUAGUAAGCAGAAUUCAGACAUAAUUCACCAAAAAUCACAUUUAUGAGGUAAAUAAGGGCCCAAAUAACAAAUCUAUGAGGUAAAUUAGACCCUAUGUGAGAAAAAUCCUGUCAGAAAUGUCUCAAAAGUGCACUUAUGAGGUAAUUAAGAGGCCCAGUAAGAUAUAUAUGAGGUAAACAGGGAUCCCAGUCAGCAAAAUUCUGAUAUAAUUCACCAAAAAUCACAUUUAUGAGGUAAAUAAGGCCCCAAAUAACAGAUCUAUGAGGUAAAUUAGGCCCUAUGUGAGGAAAAUCCUGUCAUAAAUGACCCAAAAUGCACUUAGGAGUUAAGUGAGAGGCCCAGUAAGAGAGCUGUGAGGUACACUGUGCUCCCAGUAAGAGAUAUAUGAGCUAAACUGGUCUCCUAGUAAGCAAAAUUCUGACAUAAAUGACCCAAAAACACAUUUAUGAGGUAAAUAAGGCCCCAAAUAACAGACCUAUGAGGUAAAUUAGGCCCUGUGUGAGAAAACCCCCACCACAGAAGCCCCGUAAGGCCCAGUGUGGUCAAUGGGCUCCCAUUAACUCAGCCUUAGACCCACGGAGACCCCCGGGAACCCAACAUGACGUCACCGAACGGCCCCCAAAUCCCCUUUUUUGAGCUCAUAUCGGUGCCGGCAAUGCGAUUUU
ensembl:lncRNA